rnacentral:rRNA from 1 species
GUGGGGAAUAUUGGACAAUGGGCGAAAGCCUGAUCCAGCCAUGCCGCGUGUGUGAAGAAGGUCUUCGGAUUGUAAAGCACUUUCGACGGGGACGAUGAUGACGGUACCCGUAGAAGAAGCCCCGGCUAACUUCGUGCCAGCAGCCGCGGUAAUACGAAGGGGGCUAGCGUUGCUCGGAAUUACUGGGCGUAAAGGGCGCGUAGGCGGCUCUGUGAGUCAGGCGUGAAAUGCCUGGGCUUAACCUGGGGACUGCGCUUGAUACUGCAGGGCUUGAGGCCGAGAGAGGGUGGUGGAAUUCCCAGUGUAGAGGUGAAAUUCGUAGAUAUUGGGAAGAACACCGGUGGCGAAGGCGACCACCUGGCUCGGUACUGACGCUGAGGCGCGACAGCGUGGGGAGCAAACAGGAUUAGAUACCCCGGUAGUCC